rnacentral:rRNA from 1 species
UCGCCCUUAUGCUCAGUAACACGUGGCUAAUCUGCCCUUAGGACGAGAACAACCCCGGGAAACUGGGGCUAACUCUCGAUAGGCGAAGAACUCUGGAAUGAGUCUUCACCCAAAAAGCUUUACGUUAUGCGCGUGAAGUCGCCUAAGGAUGAGGCCGCGACCGAUCAGGUUGUUGGUGAGGUAAUGGCUCACCAAGCCUUUUACCGGUGCGGGCCGUGAGAGCGGGAGCCCGGAGAUGGGCACUGAGACAAGGGCCCAGGCCCUACGGGGCGCAGCAGUCGCGAAAACUUUGCAAUACACGAAAGUGUGACAGGGCUAUCCCGAGUGCCAUCCGCUGAGGAAGGCUUUUACCCAGUCUAUAACGCUGGGGGAAUAAGGAGAGGGCAAGUCUGGUGUCAGCCGCCGCGGUAAUACCAGCUCUCCGAGUGGUGUGGAUGUUUAUUGGGCCUAAAGCAUCCGUAGCUGGCUAAGUUAGUCCCUUGUUAAAUCCACCGAAUUAAUCGUUGGAUUGCGGGGGAUACUGCUUGGCUAGGGGACGAGAGAGGCAGACGGUAUUCCCGGGGUAGGGGUGAAAUCCUAUAAUCCCGAGAAGACCACCAGUGGCGAAGGCUGUCUGCUAGAACGCGCCCGACGG